rnacentral:rRNA from 1 species
AUGUUAUCCGUGUCAUACAGGACUGCCGGCUUAAGGCCGGAGGAAGGCGGGGAUGACGUCAAGUCAGCAUGGCCUUUAUAUCCGGGGCUACACACACGCUACAAUGGCCGGUACAAUGGGUUGCAAAGCCGCGAGGUAGAGCCAAUCCCGAAAGCCGGUCUCAGUUCGGAUUGCAGGCUGCAACUCGCCUGCAUGAAGUCGGAGUUGCUAGUAACCGCGCGUCAGCAGUAGUGCGGUGAAUACGUUCCCGGGCCUUGCACACACCGCCCGUCACGUCAUGGGAGCUGGCAACACCUGAAGCCGGUAGCCUAACCGCAAGGAGGGCGCCGUCGAAGGUGGGGCUGGUGACUGGGACGAAGUCGUAACAAGGUAACCGUAA